rnacentral:sRNA from 1 species
GCUGGGUGUGGUGGUGCACACCUGUCAUCUAGCAUCUCAGGAGGCAGGGACAGGAGGAUCACGAGUUCAAAGCCAGCCUCAGCAAAAGUGAGGCGCUAAGCAACUCAGUGAGACCCUGUCUCUA